rnacentral:rRNA from 1 species
UGGGGAAUAUUGCACAAUGGGGGAAACCCUGAUGCAGCCAUGCCGCGUGUGUGAAGAAGGCCUUCGGGUUGUAAAGCACUUUCAGUGGGGAGGAAGGGUUGAUGUCUAAUACGCAUCAGCAUUGACGUUACCCACAGAAGAAGCACCGGCUAACUCCGUGCCAGCAGCCGCGGUAAUACGGAGGGUGCAAGCGUUAAUCGGAAUAACUGGGCGUAAAGCGCACGCAGGCGGUCAGAUAAGUCAGAUGUGAAAUCCCCGGGCUCAACCUGGGAAAUGCAUUUGAAACUGUCUGACUAGAGUCUUGUAGAGGGGGGUAGAAGUCCAGGUGUAGCGGUGAAAUGCGUAGAGAUCUGGAGGAAUACCGGUGGCGAAGGCGGCCCCCUGGACAAAGACUGACGCUCAGGUGCGAAAGCGUGGGGAGCAAACA